AGUUUGAGAGUGAACCCUUUUGACGAACCUUGCUUGAUUACAAUAUCGAAAUAAUUGAAAUAAUUUCAUAAUUCCUUUUAAUUUCUUACUCGAAACAAGGACAAUAACAAAGAUAUGGAUAAAAAUAAUACUAUUCAUUUACUAACCUCUCAAAGUCAUUGUGCUACAAAAUUUAACGAAAAAUUUCUGCCAUAUGUACUCUGCCCACUCCAUUCUUACUUCAUCAAUAUCCUUUUAGGUGCAACUGUCUCGUCCAACAAACUAUAUAUCAUACACAAAAUAGUCAAUAUUAAUACAUGCAUCAACGUUAUGAAAUCUAUAAACUUUAAAAGGAUAAGGAAAUGACUACCACAUUUUUUUAUUGAAUCAUCAUGGCUUUCAAUAAUUUGCUUCAUAAACCUAAUGACAUAAUAUCCACAUUCAACAUCUGUAGUUUGUUGAGGACACUGCACAAGAAUUUUGAACUAAUUAAUGUCAUGUGCAUAUGUAAAGAAAUUUAAACU
rnacentral:lncRNA from 1 species